GACGAACGCUGGCGGCGUGCUUAACACAUGCAAGUCGAACGGUGAAGCGAGUGCUUGCACUCGUGGAUCAGUGGCGAACGGGUGAGUAACACGUGAGUAACCUGCCCAUCACUCUGGGAUAAGCACUGGAAACGGUGUCUAAUACUGGAUACGACCAACCCUUGCAUGGGGUGUUGGUGGAAAGAUUUAUCGGUGAUGGAUGGACUCGCGGCCUAUCAGCUUGUUGGCGGGGUAAUGGCCCACCAAGGCGACGACGGGUAGCCGGCCUGAGAGGGUGACCGGCCACAGUGGGACUGAGAAACGGACCAGACUCCUACGGGAGGCAGCAGUGGGGAAUAUUGCACAAUGGGCGAAAGCCUGAUGCAGCGACGCCGCGUGAGGGAUGACGGACUUCGGGUUGUAAACCUCUUUCAGCAGGGAAGAAGCGAAAGUGACGGUACCUGCAGAAGAAGCACCGGCUAACUACGUG
rnacentral:rRNA from 1 species